rnacentral:rRNA from 1 species
AUUGAACGCUGGCGGCAUGCCUUACACAUGCAAGUCGAACGGUAACAGGUCUUCGGAUGCUGACGAGUGGCGAACGGGUGAGUAAUGCAUCGGAACGUGCCCAGUUGUGGGGGAUAACUGCUCGAAAGAGCAGCUAAUACCGCAUACGACCUGAGGGUGAAAGCGGGGGAUCGCAAGACCUCGCGCAAUUGGAGCGGCCGAUGUCAGAUUAGGUAGUUGGUGGGGUAAAGGCCUACCAAGCCGACGAUCUGUAGUUGGUCUGAGAGGACGACCCGCCACACUGGGACUGAGACACGUCCCAGACUCCUACGGGAGGCAGCAGUGGGGAAUUUUGGACAAUGGGCGCAAGCCUGAUCCAGCAAUGCCGCGUGCAGGAAGAAGGCCUUCGGGUUGUAAACUGCUUUUGUCAGGGAAGAAAUCCUCUGGGUUAAUACCCCGGGGGGAUGACGGUACCUGAAGAAUAAGCACCGGCUAACUACGUGCCAGCAGCCGCAGUAACAC